UGCAAGUCGAGCGCGCCCUUCGGGGUGAGCGGCGGACGGGUUAGUAACGCGUGGGAACGUACCCAGAUCUAAGGAAUAGCCACUGGAAACGGUGAGUAAUACCUUAUACGCCCUUCGGGGGAAAGAUUUAUCGGAUUUGGGUCGGCCCGCGUUAGAUUAGGUAGUUGGUGGGGUAAUGGCCUACCAAGCCUACGAUCUAUAGCUGGUUUUAGAGGAUGAUCAGCAACACUGGGACUGAGACACGGCCCAAACUCCUACGGGAGGCAGCAGUGGGGAAUCUUAGACAAUGGGGGCAACCCUGAUCUAGCCAUGCCGCGUGAGUGAUGAAGGCCUUAGGGUCGUAAAGCUCUUUCGCCUGUGAUGAUAAUGACAGUAGCAGGUAAAGAAACCCCGGCUAACUCCGUGCCAGCAGCCGCGGUAAUACGGAGGGGGCGAGCGUUGUCCGGAUUUAUUGGGCGUAAAGAGCUCGUAGGCGGUUCAACAAGUCGGUCGUAAAAGUUCAGGGCUCAACCCUGAAAUGUCGAUCGAUACUGUUGUGACUAGGAUACGGUAGAGGUGAGUGGAAUUCCGAGUGUAGCGGUGAAAUGCGUAGAUAUUCGGAGGAACACCAAUUGCGAAGGCAGCUCACUGGGCCGCUAUCGACGCUGAGGAGCGAAAGCUAGGGGAGCAAACAGGAUUAGAUACCCUGGUAGUCCUAGCUGUAAACGAUGGAUACUAGACGUAGGAACUGGAUUGACGGUUCUGUGUCGUAGCUAACGCGUUAAGUAUCCCGCCUGGGGAGUACGGUCGCAAGACUAAAACUCAAAGGAAUUGACGGGACCCCGCACAAGCGGCGGACAUGCGCUUAAUCGAUGAUACCCGUAGAACUUACUGACUGACAUAUAGGUCUAGCUAUAGAGAUAUAGUGUGCAUUGCGCCUAUACAGUGUGCAUGCUGUCGUCAGCUCGU
rnacentral:rRNA from 1 species